rnacentral:rRNA from 1 species
AUCUACAGCCAUAUCACCCUCAACAUGCCGGAUCUCCUCUGACCUUGAAAGCUAAGCAGGGUCAAGCCUGGUUAGUACUUGGAAGGGAGAUA